GAGAAUAUGGUUGAAUGGUAAAAUUUUUCUUUGUCAAGGAGAAGAUGUGGUUCGAUUCUUGCUAUUUGCC
rnacentral:tRNA from 1 species